GACGAACGCUGGCGGCGUGCUUAACACAUGCAAGUCGAGCGGUAAGGCCCUUUCGGGGGUACACGAGCGGCGAACGGGUGAGUAACACGUGGGUGACCUGCCCUCAGCUCUGGGAUAAGCCUGGGAAACCGGGUCUAAUACCGGAUAUGACUCCAUGACGCAUGUUGUGGGGUGGAAAGCCUUGUGCGGCUGAGGAUGGGCCCGCGGCCUAUCAGCUUGUUGGUGGGGUGAUGGCCUACCAAGGCGACGACGGGUAGCCGGCCUGAGAGGGCGACCGGCCACACUGGGACUGAGACACGGCCCAGACUCCUACGGGAGGCAGCAGUGGGGAAUCUUGCGCAAUGGGCGAAAAGCCUGACGCAGCGACGCCGCGUGAGGGAUGACGGCCUGG
rnacentral:rRNA from 1 species